UACGGAGGGUGCGAGCGUUAAUCGGAAUGACUGGGCGUAAAGGGUGCGUAGGCGGUUAGUUAAGUUGUGGGUGAAAUCACCGGGCUCAACCUGGUUUGGAAUCAUAAUACUGGCUAACUAGAGUACAGGAGAGGGUAGUGGAAUUUCCGGUGUAGCGGUGAAAUGCGUAGAGAUCGGAAGGAACACCAGUUGCGAAGGCGGCUACCUGGACUGAGACUGACGCUGAGGCACGAAAGCGUGGGGAGCAAACAGG
rnacentral:rRNA from 2 species